UCCGGUAUACUAGAACCUUCUUGGGAACGAUAACUGGCGUCGAGCGGCGGACGGGUGAGUAAUGCCUAGGAAAUUGCCCUGAUGUGGGGGAUAACCAUUGGAAACGAUGGCUAAUACCGCAUGAUGCCUACGGGCCAAAGAGGGGGACCUUCGGGCCUCUCGCGUCAGGAUAUGCCUAGGUGGGAUUAGCUAGUUGGUGAGGUAAGGGCUCACCAAGGCGACGAUCCCUAGCUGGUCUGAGAGGAUGAUCAGCCACACUGGAACUGAGACACGGUCCAGACUCCUACGGGAGGCAGCAGUGGGGAAUAUUGCACAAUGGGCGCAAGCCUGAUGCAGCCAUGCCGCGUGUGUGAAGAAGGCCUUCGGGUUGUAAAGCACUUUCAGUCGUGAGGAAGGUGGUGUAGUUAAUAGCUGCAUUAUUUGACGUUAGCGACAGAAGAAGCACCGGCUAACUCCGUGCCAGCAGCCGCGGUAAUACGGAGGGUGCGAGCGUUAAUCGGAAUUACUGGGCGUAAAGCGCAUGCAGGUGGUUUGUUAAGUCAGAUGUGAAAGCCCGGGGCUCAACCUCGGAAUAGCAUUUGAAACUGGCAGACUAGAGUACUGUAGAGGGGGGUAGAAUUUCAGGUGUAGCGGUGAAAUGCGUAGAGAUCUGAAGGAUACCGGUGGCGAAGGCGGCCCCCUGGACAGAUACUGACACUCAGAUGCGAAAGCGUGGGGAGCAAACAGGAUUAGAUACCCUGGUAGUCCACGCCGUAAACGAUGUCUACUUGGAGGUUGUGGCCUUGAGCCGUGCCUUUCGAGCUAACGCGUUAAGUAGACCGCCUGGGGAGUACGGUCGCAGAUAAACUCAAAUGAUGACGGGGCCCGCACAGCGUGAGCAUGUGUUUAUCGAUGCACGCGAGACUACUACUCUGACAUCAGAGACUUUCAGAGAUGAUGGUGCUCGACUC
rnacentral:rRNA from 1 species